rnacentral:piRNA from 1 species
UCCUAACUCAGGCUACCAGGUUCUACGAA